GACGAACGCUGGCGGCGUGCUUAACACAUGCAGGUCGAACGGAAAGGCCUCUUUCGGGGGGUACUCGAGUGGCGAACGGGUGAGUAACACGUGAGUAACCUGCCCUUGACUUUGGGAUAACUUCAGGAAACUGGGGCUAAUACCGGAUAGGAGCUCCUGCUGCAUGGUGGGGGUUGGAAAGUUUCGGCGGUUGGGGAUGGACUCGCGGCUUAUCAGCUUGUUGGUGGGGUAGUGGCCUACCAAGGCUUUGACGGGUAGCCGGCCUGAGAGGGUGACCGGCCACAUUGGGACUGAGAUACGGCCCAGACUCCUACGGGAGGCAGCAGUGGGGAAUAUUGCACAAUGGGUGGAAGCCUGAUGCAGCAACGCCGUGUGCGGGAUGACGGCCUUCGGGUUGUAAACCGCUUUCGCUCAUGACGAAGCUUUGUGUGACGGUAGUGGGUAAAGAAGCACCGGCUAACUACGUG
rnacentral:rRNA from 1 species